UACGGGGGGGGCAAGCGUUGUUCGGAAUUACUGGGCGUAAAGGGCUCGUAGGUGGCCAACUAAGUCAGACGUGAAAUCCCUCGGCUUAACCGGGGAACUGCGUCUGAUACUGGAUGGCUUGAGAUUGGGAGAGGGAUGCGGAAUUCCAGGUGUAGCGGUGAAAUGCGUAGAUAUCGGGAGGAACACCUGUGGCGAAAGCGGCGCACUGGACCACAACUGACGCUGAGGCGCGAAAGCUAGGGGAGCAAACAGG
rnacentral:rRNA from 1 species